UUACCUAAACCAGAUGCGAAUGUAAGCCUGGUGGCAUGAUCUGCGUUCCCCACUAUUUUCGUCUGCUCAACGUCGGAUCGAAUAGUAUGGGAGCACAAUUAUUUUAGUUUCACGCUUGCUUCGGUACCCGUGACGCUGAGAAGUGGCAUAGUGCGAGCGCAAAUAUAUUUUUUUAACUAUGACGAGUUAUAAGUGCAUAAGUAGAUGCUGUUCUUCUGUGAACACAGAAGUAACCUUUAUUGGUCUUCCAAGUGAUCCUUUAAGGUAAACGUAUUUAAUUUAUUUAGUUUUAAAAUAAUACGCACCGUUUGUUUAGACGUGAAGCUUGGCUUCGUGCAGCUAAAAGAGAAGACCUGCUGCAAAAAGAAAACUUUAAAAAUUACAGAAUAUGUAGAAAGCAUUUUGCGGAAAAAUAUAUCUCAACUGGAGGGAAAAAGUUAUUUCCAAACGCUAUACCUACAUUUUUUUGUAAUCAUAUUUGUGUACUUACAUCGACGGAAAUAGAUGAAACUGAAAUUAAUGUUAAUCUGGAAUCCGAAAGCGAAGAACCUCCACGAAAGAUUUUGAUUUUAUCAGAUGUGGAUAACCUUAAAUCAAAUAAAGAUAUGAUUGACCAAACGACCAAUUAUAAAUUUGUUCAAAGUGAUUUUUCAAAGGCAUAUGUAAACACAGAUGUGACAGGCACUAAAGAUACGCCCAUCAAUUAUAUUACAAGCAUAAAAUCACCAAGCAUAGGAACCCAAAGUUCAUCUGCAUUGACUGCCAAUAGCCCAAGAAAGCUGAAGUUGCGAUACCAAG